rnacentral:RNase_P_RNA from 1 species
GCUGCAAACCGGGUUAUCGUUCCAAUGAAAAUUGGGAAGGAAAGUCCGGACAGUAUAGAGCAACACACCGGUUAAUAGCCGGUCCUGAUCCUGAGCUUGUCGAAGGGUUGGGAAGAAAGUGCCACAGAAAAUUACCGUCCCGAUUAAAAUCGGGAUAAGGGUGAAAACGUGAGGUAAGAGCUCACGAUCGUUGCAAGUAAUUGUAACAAUGGGUAAACCUUGUGUACUGCAAUGCCACGUAUAUCAGCGCCUGAAGGCGGCUCGCCUGAUGCUGAAGGGUAGGCAGCAAGAUUGUUGCAGUAAUGCAACAGCCAGAUAAAUGAUAACCGUCCGCCGCCUGGCGGAACACAGAAUCCGGCUUAUAGGUUUGCAGUAAUU